GUGCCAGCGCCGCGGUAAUACGGAGGGUGCGAGCGUUAAUCGGAAUUACUGGGCGUAAAGCGCGCGUAGGCGGUUUGUUAAGUUGGAUGUGAAAUCCCCGGGCUCAACCUGGGAAUGGCACCCGAUACUGGCCGACUAGAGUACGAGAGAGGGAGGUAGAAUUCCACGUGUAGCGGUGAAAUGCGUAGAUAUGUGGAGGAAUACCGGUGGCGGAGGCGGCCUCCUGGCUCGAUACUGACGCUGAGGUGCGAAAGCGUGGGGAGCAAACAGGAUUAGAUACCCGAGUAGUCC
rnacentral:rRNA from 1 species